CCUACGGGUGGCAGCAGUGGGGGAUAUUGCACAAUGGGGGAAACCCUGAUGCAGCGACGCCGCGUGGGCGAAGAAGUAUUUCGGUAUGUAAACUGCUUGAGACAGGGAAGAAAAAAGACAGUACCUGUAGAAUAAGCUCCGGCUAACUACGUUCCAGCAGCCGCGGUAAUACGUAGGGAGCAAGCGUUAUCCGGAUUUAUUGGGUGUAAAGGGUGCGUAGACGGAGAAGCAAGUUAGUUGUGAAAUCCCUCGGCUUAACUGAGGAACUGCAACUAAAACUACGUCACUAGAGUACUGGAGAGGAAAGUGGAAUUCCUAGUGUAGCGGUGAAAUGCGUAGAUAUUAGGAGGAACACCAGUGGCGAAGGCGACUUUCUGGACAGUAACUGACGUUGAGGCACGAAAGUGUGGGGAGCAAACAGGAUUAGAUACCCUUGUAGUC
rnacentral:rRNA from 1 species